rnacentral:lncRNA from 1 species
UCUGUGUUGUUCAGGGGUGCAGGCAAAACACAAGGAGCCGAAGACUUUUAAGCCAAGCAAGUUUGGCUCUGUGUUAUUCACAGCAUAGCUCUUCUUUGAUUUGUAAUAUCCAUUGUGAUAAGAGCGUCCUCUACCUCUUCCACCUCCAUUUCCUCUGUGGAAUUAAACAACACCUUCGAGUCUUCCAAUGAAGCACCAGUGAGUUGCCUCUCUUGUUG